rnacentral:misc_RNA from 1 species
CUCAACUUUUACUGAGAAGGACUCUGCAAUUUCUUCAGUAUUUCAACGAGCCUAUUUUUGAGGUAAUGGAGACACAAAAUGAUGAUAUCGCUGCGGUGCUCGCCGUGGAUCCAUGGUCACUGCAGGCGACUGGCGUUACCAGCUCGGCAGGCGACACGUCGCGCCUCUGCCUCGUCACUGAGCCCGACGACGAGGGAGAAAGAGACGCGCUGGGACUCAGACCCACAAGACCGUGCAUAGAGACGUCACGCCGUCUUUAUUCUAACUACAAACCUGUUGAAAAUAUUGGACGCUGCCUACAUCUCGACGACGCAUUAAUAUGCUGCCAGUUGAA